rnacentral:rRNA from 1 species
GGUUAAGCGACUAAGCGUACACGGUGGAUGCCCUGGCAGUCAGAGGCGAUGAAGGACGUGCUAAUCUGCGAAAAGCGUCGGUAAGGUGAUAUGAACCGUUACAGCCGGCGAUGUCCGAAUGGGGAAACCCAGUGCAAUUCGUUGCACUAUCGUUAACUGAAUACAUAGGUUAACGAGGCGAACCGGGGGAACUGAAACAUCUAAGUACCCCGAGGAAAAGAAAUCAACCGAGAUUCCCCCAGUAGCGGCGAGCGAACGGGGAGCAGCCCAGAGUCUGAAUCAGCUUGUGUGUUAGUGGAACGGUCUGGAAAGUCCGACGGUACAGGGUGAUAGUCCCGUACACCAAAAUGCACAGGUUGUGAACUCGAAGAGUAGGGCGGGACACGUGGUAUCCUGUCUGAAUAUGGGGGGACCAUCCUCCAAGGCUAAAUACUCCUGACUGACCGAUAGUGAACCAGUACCGUGAGGGAAAGGCGAAAAGAACCCCGGCGAGGGGAGUGAAAAAGAACCUGAAACCGUGUACGUACAAGCAGUGGGAGCACCUUCGGGUGUGACUGCGUACCUUUUGUAUAAUGGGUCAGCGACUUAUAUUCUGUAGCAAGGUUAACCGUAUAGGGGAGCCGCAGGGAAACCGAGUCUUAACUGGGCGUUAAGUUGCAGGGUAUAGACCCGAAACCCGGUGAUCUAGCCAUGGGCAGGUUGAAGGUUGGGUAACACUAACUGGAGGACCGAACCGACUAAUGUUGAAAAAUUAGCGGAUGACUUGUGGCUGGGGGUGAAAGGCCAAUCAAACCGGGAGAUAGCUGGUUCUCCCCGAAAGCUAUUUAGGUAGCGCCUCGUGAACUCAUCUUCGGGGGUAGAGCACUGUUUCGGCUAGGGGGUCAUCCCGACUUACCAACCCGAUGCAAACUACGAAUACCGAAGAAUGUUAUCACGGGAGACACACGGCGGGUGCUAACGUCCGUCGUGAAGAGGGAAACAACCCAGACCGCCAGCUAAGGUCCCAAAGUCAUGGUUAAGUGGGAAACGAUGUGGGAAGGCACAGACAGCCAGGAUGUUGGCUUAGAAGCAGCCAUCAUUUAAAGAAAGCGUAAUAGCUCACUGGUCGAGUCGGCCUGCGCGGAAGAUGUAACGGGGCUAAACCAUGCACCGAAGCUGCGGCAGCGACACGAUGUGUUGUUGGGUAGGGGAGCGUUCUGUAAGCCUGCGAAGGUGACCUGUGAGGGUUGCUGGAGGUAUCAGAAGUGCGAAUGCUGACAUAAGUAACGAUAAAGCGGGUGAAAAGCCCGCUCGCCGGAAGACCAAGGGUUCCUGUCCAACGUUAAUCGGGGCAGGGUGAGUCGACCCCUAAGGCGAGGCCGAAAGGCGUAGUCGAUGGGAAACAGGUUAAUAUUCCUGUACUUGGUGUUACUGCGAAGGGGGGACGGAGAAGGCUAUGUUAGCCGGGCGACGGUUGUCCCGGUUUAAGCAUGUAGGCUGGUUAUCCAGGCAAAUCCGGAUAAUCAAGGCUGAGGUGUGAUGACGAGGCACUACGGUGCUGAAGUAACAAAUGCCCUGCUUCCAGGAAAAGCCUCUAAGCAUCAGGUAACAUCAAAUCGUACCCCAAACCGACACAGGUGGUCAGGUAGAGAAUACCAAGGCGCUUGAGAGAACUCGGGUGAAGGAACUAGGCAAAAUGGUGCCGUAACUUCGGGAGAAGGCACGCUGGUGUGUAGGUGAAGUCCCUGCGGAUGGAGCUGAGACCAGUCGAAGAUACCAGCUGGCUGCAACUGUUUAUUAAAAACACAGCACUGUGCAAACACGAAAGUGGACGUAUACGGUGUGACGCCUGCCCGGUGCCGGAAGGUUAAUUGAUGGGGUUAUCCGUAAGGAGAAGCUCUUGAUCGAAGCCCCGGUAAACGGCGGCCGUAACUAUAACGGUCCUAAGGUAGCGAAAUUCCUUGUCGGGUAAGUUCCGACCUGCACGAAUGGCGUAAUGAUGGCCAGGCUGUCUCCACCCGAGACUCAGUGAAAUUGAACUCGCUGUGAAGAUGCAGUGUACCCGCGGCAAGACGGAAAGACCCCGUGAACCUUUACUAUAGCUUGACACUGAACAUUGAGCCUUGAUGUGUAGGAUAGGUGGGAGGCUUUGAAGCGUGGACGCCAGUCUGCGUGGAGCCAACCUUGAAAUACCACCCUUUAAUGUUUGAUGUUCUAACGUUGGCCCCUGACCGGGGUUGCGGACAGUGUCUGGUGGGUAGUUUGACUGGGGCGGUCUCCUCCCAAAGCGUAACGGAGGAGCACGAAGGUUAGCUAAUCCUGGUCGGACAUCAGGAGGUUAGUGCAAUGGCAUAAGCUAGCUUGACUGCGAGCGUGACGGCGCGAGCAGGUGCGAAAGCAGGUCAUAGUGAUCCGGUGGUUCUGAAUGGAAGGGCCAUCGCUCAACGGAUAAAAGGUACUCCGGGGAUAACAGGCUGAUACCGCCCAAGAGUUCAUAUCGACGGCGGUGUUUGGCACCUCGAUGUCGGCUCAUCACAUCCUGGGGCUGAAGUAGGUCCCAAGGGUAUGGCUGUUCGCCAUUUAAAGUGGUACGCGAGCUGGGUUUAGAACGUCGUGAGACAGUUCGGUCCCUAUCUGCCGUGGGCGCUGGAGAAUUGAGGGGGGCUGCUCCUAGUACGAGAGGACCGGAGUGGACGCAUCACUGGUGUUCGGGUUGUCAUGCCAAUGGCACUGCCCGGUAGCUAAAUGCGGAAGAGAUAAGUGCUGAAAGCAUCUAAGCACGAAACUUGCCCCGAGAUGAGUUCUCCCUGAGACUUUAAGUCUCCUGAAGGAACGUUAAAGACGAUGACGUUGAUAGGCCGGGUGUGUAAGCGCAGCGAUGCGUUGAGCUAACCGGUACUAAUGAACCGUGAGGCUUAACCUU